UAGGGAAUCUUCCGCAAUGGACGAAAGUCUGACGGAGCAACGCCGCGUGAGCGAUGAAGGCCUUCGGGUCGUAAAGCUCUGUUGUUAGGGAAGAAUAAGUGCUAGUUGAAUAAGCUGGCACCUUGACGGUACCUCACCAGAAAGCCACGGCUAACUACGUGCCAGCAGCCGCGGUAAUACGUAGGUGGCAAGCGUUGUCCGGAAUUAUUGGGCGUAAAGCGCGCGCAGGCGGUUUCUUAAGUCUGAUGUGAAAGCCCCCAGCUCAACUGGGGAGGGUCAUUGGAAACUGGGAAACUUGAGUGCAGAAGAGGAAAGUGGAAUUCCAAGUGUAGCGGUGAAAUGCGUAGAGAUUUGGAGGAACACCAGUGGCGAAGGCGACUUUCUGGUCUGUAACUGACGCUGAGGCGCGAAAGCGUGGGGAGCAAAC
rnacentral:rRNA from 1 species